CACUCUAGAGAGACUGCCAGGGAUAACCUGGAGGAAGGUGGGGAUGACGUCAAAUCAUCAUGCCCCUUAUGCUUAGGGCUACACACGUGCUACAAUGGGUAGUACAGAGGGUUGCCAAGCCGUAAGGCGGAGCUAAUCCCUUAAAGCUACUCUCAGUUCGGAUUGUAGGCUGAAACUCGCCUACAUGAAGCUGGAGGUACUAGUAAUCGCAGAUCAGAAUGCUGCGGUGAAUGCGUUCCCGGGUCUUGUACACAC
rnacentral:rRNA from 1 species